AGCGGCGGACGGGUGAGUAACGCGUGGGUAACCUGCCUCAUACAGGGGGAUAACAGUUGGAAACGGCUGCUAAUACCGCAUAAGCGCACAGUACCGCAUGGUACCGUGUGAAAAACUCCGGUGGUAUGAGAUGGACCCGCGUCUGAUUAGCUGGUUGGUGGGGUAACGGCCUACCAAGGCGACGAUCAGUAGCCGACCUGAGAGGGUGACCGGCCACAUUGGGACUGAGACACGGCCCAA
rnacentral:rRNA from 1 species